rnacentral:rRNA from 1 species
AUGAACGCUGGCGGCGUGCCUAAUACCUGCAAGUCGAGCGAACGGACGAGAAGCUUGCUUCUCUGAUGUUAGCGGCGGACGGGUGAGUAACACGUGGAUAACCUACCUAUAAGACUGGGAUAACUUCGGGAAACCGGAGCUAAUACCGGAUAAUAUUUUGAACCGCAUGGUUCAAAAGUGAAAGACGGUCUUGCUGUCACUUAUAGAUGGAUCCGCGCUGCAUUAGCUAGUUGGUAAGGUAACGGCUUACCAAGGCAACGAUGCAUAGCCGACCUGAGAGGGUGAUCGGCCACACUGGAACUGAGACACGGUCCAGACUCCUACGGGAGGCAGCAGUAGGGAAUCUUCCGCAAUGGGCGAAAGCCUGACGGAGCAACGCCGCGUGAGUGAUGAAGGUCUUCGGAUCGUAAAACUCUGUUAGUAGGGAAGAACAUAUGUGUAAGUAACUGUGCACAUCUUGACGGUACCUAAUCAGAAAGCCACGGCUAACUACGUG